CUGUGAUGCAGACUUGUCUAGGAAUAUGAAAUUGGGAAGAUUUGCACUUGGAAAGUAGGCGGCAAUUUGUCUCAUUAUUGGAGAAGGGGGUUUUCCAAAGAAUGUUCUUUCUUUAUGCAUGUGUUAUGUUGCUCAUCUGGUCUAUGCAUCCAAUAUGUUGUCAUAGUGGUUCUUAUUUGGAUCUCAGGGAUGCAAGUGUUCCAUUGAGUAAGGAGUACAAGAUUGGCAGCAUGGCUUAAAAAAAAAAAACAAGAUUACCAUGGACUCUAAACUUUCAGACAGGUGUUUUUUUAAUAUGUUCCACAAUUACGAAAUCUGCUGCUCAGAUUGUGCAAGAACAACAUGGAAAGUGAGUCUUCAUGCUUCAGUUCCUUUUCCAUGGUUAACAUGGAGGAAGCACAUUUACUACGUGCUCAACAAGAAAUUCCAAUAUCGGAAUAUGGGGCAAGUGUUAUAAUUUCUCUGGUUGGUUUUCCGAACUGCUGGUUCCAAUAUUGGAAUAUCAGUUUAAUUCACAAUGUUGUUUCAGGCAUCAGAAAAAUCAGCACAAGCCUAUGAAUGGGCUGAACCCCAAUUGGAAACAGUUAAAGUUGUGAGUUAACUGCUACGGAUUUGCUAUUUCUUUCUUUUAUUAAAUA